UAUUUUAAAGAGAGUUUGAUCCUGGCUCAGGACGAACGCUGGCGGCGUGCCUAAUACAUGCAAGUCGAACGAACGGAGGAAGAGCUUGCUCUUCCAAAGUUAGUGGCGGACGGGUGAGUAACACGUGGGCAACCUGCCUGUAAGUUGGGGAUAACUCCGGGAAACCGGGGCUAAUACCGAAUGAUAGAAUGUGGCGCAUGCCACGCUUUUGAAAGAUGGUUUCGGCUAUCGCUUACAGAUGGGC
rnacentral:rRNA from 1 species